GCCAUAGCUUAGUAGGUAGAGCAACUGAUUCGUAAUCAGGAGGUCGGCAGUUCGAUUCUGCCUGGC
rnacentral:tRNA from 1 species